UAAAAAACUUUCUUCAAUUGCUGAUAUUCUUGAGAACCAUCAUACAAAGAAGAAAAGGAGCAGGACUACUUGCAAACGACUUGCUUGAGGGGACUAAUAGAAUACACUUUGCAGCCCUGGACUUGAUGGUACAUUGGAAGCAUGCGGAUUGGGAGAUAUGAAGAUGUUUUUGAGAGAUGUAUGAUGAAGUGUUGUACUUUUGAAGACAAGCACAUUUUGGAAUAUAUGAAACAUCUUGUAAUUGGAGCGAACAAUAUUAAAUGAUAAAGUUUGUAGAAUUUGACUAAAACAAUGUAUGGUACUUUAUUCUAGUGUAUUGUGGAACUAUAUUUUGUUAUAAUAUUCGAUUUUAGGAUAUUUGAGCAUGAUAA